CUUAUUGGGUGGGAUGCGGGAUAAGCUUGAUUCAAAUUUCCCAAUUUGGGACAAGUGCUUGAUUAAUUCUCGCAUUGUUGCAUUUGUGGGUGAUAGCCAGUUUUUUGCGAUAAGAUUUUGGGCGGCUACUAGUAUGUGUAGAAUUAGGUAUUUAAGUGGUUUUGGGUAUUCGGCUUCCCACAGGAAUAGUAACAAGGCGUUGGGGGAGUUUGGUAACAUAAUUGAG